rnacentral:tRNA from 1 species
GGUCCUGUAGUUCAACGGAUAGAAUAGACGUUUCCUAAACGUUAGAUCCAAGUUCGAUUCUUGGCAAGACCA